rnacentral:rRNA from 1 species
UACGUAGGGACCUAGCGUUGUCCGGAAUCAUUGGGCGUAAAGCGCGCGUAGGCGGCCCGGUAAGUCCGUUGUAAAAGUCAAAGGCUCAACCUUUGAAAGCCGAUGGAUACUGCCGGGCUAGAGUCCGGAAGAGGCGAGUAGAAUUCCUGGUGUAGCGGUGGAAUGCGCAGAUAUCAGGAGGAAUACCCAUAGCGAAGGCAGCUCGCUGGGACGGUACUGACGCUGAGGCGCGAAAGCGUGGGGAGCGAACAGGAUUAGAAACCCCCGUAGUCC